rnacentral:lncRNA from 1 species
UCAGAUUUGAAUGUUCGGUCCUUCAUGCUUCAGCUCGGUCACCUUGUUCUUGAAUAAUGACUUAAGCAGCGGCGAAGAGGUCCCUUAGGUGCUAGAUUUCUCCCUCUAACUAUACGACCUGAGUUAUUAGUACUUCGUGGUCUUGAUUUUGAAGAUGCACAUGCUCUCUUAGGUUUAGGAUCUCUUGGUAGAUCCUCCUUCAAUUAAGUGGUAGCAUUUGCUCGGCUUUUAUCCUUAGUUGUCGUUGCCUAGCAACAAUAGCCUAGAAUUUCGCAAGCGCCUC